rnacentral:lncRNA from 1 species
CAGCAUACCUGGGUCCCCUGGGGCCCGCUGAGCAGGAACAUCCAGCUGUUCGUGCAAUACAGGCACAUGCCAUGGCUCCACAUCUGUUCCCUUUAACUUGACAUCCCUCAGCCCAGGAAAUGGAGUGGUGGUGCACAAGCCUGGCCAAGAAGAAGCGAUUACACAUCUCCAGCACUCGAACUGAUUCGGGAGGAACUGACUAGUCCCUUGCCGUACAAACAGCAAUCGUAAGUCCCUGAGGAGGCUUAUGAUAAAUAAUCCCCCAUAAUCCCC